GACGGAGGAGGCAAGCGUUAUCCGGAAUUAUUGGGCGUAAAGGGUACGUAGGCGGCUGGACAAGUCUGGGGUUAAAGGCCACAGCUCAACUGUGGGAAGGCCCGGGAAACUGACCGGCUAGAGUGAGGUAGGGGUUGCGGGAAUUCCCGGUGUAGCGGUGAAAUGCGUAGAGAUCGGGAAGAACACCUGAGGCGGAAGCGCGCAACUGGGCCUCAACUGACGCUGAGGUACGAAAGCUAGGGGAGCGAAUGGG
rnacentral:rRNA from 1 species